rnacentral:rRNA from 1 species
UACGUAGGUGGCAAGCGUUGUCCGGAUUUAUUGGGUUUAAAGGGUGCGUAGGCGGCCUUGUAAGUCAGUGGUGAAAUACUCCAGCUUAACUGGAGGGGUGCCAAUGAUACUGCAGGGCUUGAGUACAGAUGAGGUAGGCGGAAUUGACGGUGUAGCGGUGAAAUGCAUAGAUAUCGUCAAGAACACCGAUAGCGAAGGCAGCUUACUGGGCUGUAACUGACGCUGAGGCACGAAAGCGUGGGGAUCAAACAGG